GACGUAGGUGGCGAACGUUAUCCGGAAUCAUUGGGCGUAAAGGGUGCGUAGCUGGCCUGAUAAGUUAGCAGUGGGAAAUCGAGGCUCAACCUCGUGGAAGCUGGUAAUACUGUUAGGCUCGAGUGCAGGAGAAGUUAACGGAACUCCAUGUGGAGCGGUAAAAUGUGUAGAUAUAUGGAAGAACAUCAAUAACGGCGAAGGCAGUUAACUAUUCUGUUACUGACGUUGAGGCACGAAAGCGUGGGGAGCAAAACGG
rnacentral:rRNA from 1 species